AUGAGGAUGCAUCCUCUGCUUGCUACACAAACUGAGGAAACCAAAGCAGCAAAGCAUUGUACUGCAGAUGUCGACUUCGGAAUAUCUCAUGAACCAGUUAUACUCCUUGAUGCUCAUGUAAAAUUAACUUAUUUUGCUCUCUGCAAUUGCAUAUUAGAACGGUUGAGCUAA
rnacentral:rRNA from 1 species